rnacentral:lncRNA from 1 species
UGAGUCGAAUCUAUGCUUAGAAGCUGGAAGACUUCUAGCCUUCGACUUGUGCACUGCCAAAUCAAAACUAACCCGGGUCUGAUUUUCACGAAUACAGUGCCCUAACUUUUCAAAACCUGCAUCCAAAAGAGAACCUCUCUUCAAUGAAACGGUCAUACCUUUUUCCCUCCUAUGACCAAGUUGCCUCCGCUUCAAAUGAGUUGACUUUGAC